rnacentral:sRNA from 3 species
UAUUCUGCCCCAUGGGGAAGGAUGAGAAGCUUCGACUAAGGUUCGACUCGAGCGAAGCGAGAGAACGUUGCCGUAGGCAACGGCCCGAAGGGCGAAGCGCUUUAGCGCCGAGUAAUCCUUCCCCCACCACUG